UGCCAGAUUACUUUUGAAUUUAUCCAUGGACUGAAGUUGGUAGAUAUUAUUCACGGACUCAAACUGGUGGAUAUUAUUUACGAACUCAAAUUUGUUGAUAUUACAUACGGACCGGAGUUCCUAUAUUAUAUGUUGGAAAGAUUGGGUUUUUGUGCUCAAUGGAUUCGUUGGAUAAAGUGUUGUUUAGAAUCUGCUUCAGUCUCUGUAUUAGUGAAU
rnacentral:lncRNA from 1 species